rnacentral:siRNA from 1 species
UGCGAUUUCUAGUGUGUUUGGC